UGAUUUUCUUCUCUUGUGUUCCAGGGACCAGAGGGCCCUCGGGGUGACACGGGCCCUCCAGGACCUCAGGGUCCCCCUGGACCCCAAGGACCAAGUGGUCUGUCCAUUCAAGGAAUGCCUGGUAUGACGGGUGCUAAAGGAGAAAAAGGAGAGACUGGCCUUCCUGGCCCACAGGUAUGAGUUUUACUUUUUAGU
rnacentral:lncRNA from 1 species